rnacentral:rRNA from 1 species
CACGUAGGUGACAAGUGUUGUCCGGAUUUACUGGGCGUAAAGAGCGCGCAGGCGGUCGUUCAAGUCGAGUGUGAAAGCCCCCGGCUCAACUGGGGAGGGUCAUUCGAUACUGAUCGACUCGAAGGCAGGAGAGGGAAGUGGAAUUCCCGGUGUAGUGGUGAAAUUCGUAGAUAUUCGGAAGAACACCAGUGGCGAAGGCGACUCGCUGGACAAGUAUUGACGCUGAGGUGCGAAAGCGUGGGGAGCAAACAGG